rnacentral:misc_RNA from 1 species
GAUGAAGAACGUAGCGAAAUGCGAUACUUGGUGUGAAUUGCAGAAUCCCGUGAACCAUCGAGUCUUUGAACGCAAGUUGCGCCCGAAGCCACUAGGCCGAGGGCACGCCUGCCUGGGCGUCACACGCCGUUGCCCCCCCAUCUACUCCUUCGGGAUUGCGGGGGGGCGGAUGAUGGCCUCCUGUGCGCCUAGCCGCGCGGUUGGCAUAAAUACCAAGUCCUCGGCGACACACGCCACGACAAUCGGUGGUUGCGAAACCUCGGUUGCCCGUCGUGUGCGUUCGUCGCGCAUCGAGGGCUCGAAAAAAUGCUCGGCUCCGGCUGGGCUUUCAACGCGACCCCAGGUCAGGCGGGGUUACCCGCUGAAUUUAAGCAUAUCAAUAAGCGGAGGA